GAGAGAGGUUGGUAGCAACGGGGGCUGCUAACCUCCGUCCCCUUGGUUGAAUUCCGAGGCUCACUCG
rnacentral:tRNA from 1 species